rnacentral:rRNA from 1 species
GACAGAGGAUGCAAGCGUUAUCCGGAAUGAUUGGGCGUAAAGAGCGUGUAGGCGGCUUUACAGGUCCGUUGUGAAAACUCGAGGCUCAACCUCGAGACGCCGGUGGAAACCGUAAGGCUAGAGUCCGGAAGAGGAGAGUGGAAUUCCUGGUGUAGCGGUGAAAUGCGCAGAUAUCAGGAAGAACACCCGUGGCUAAGGCGGUUCUCUAGUACGGUACUGACGCUGAGACGCGAAAGCGUGGGGAGCGAACAGG